GUAUUUACCUUCAUAACAUGCUCGCAGCGCCUCGACGUCUCUGUAUGCUGCCUCCUAAGCUGAUUCAGCUCAUGUAGCGCCUUCUCGCAUUGCUGCUUCAAGCUCUCAUUGGUCUGUUUGUGUUUUGUUGUAUAUUUACCUUCAUAACAUGCUCGCAGCGCCUCGACGUCUCUGUAUGCUGCCUCCUAAGCUGAUUCAGCUCAUGUAGCGCCUUCUCGCAUUGCUGCUUCAAGCUCUCAUUGGUCUGUUUGUGUUUUGUUGUAUAUUUACCUUCAUAACAUGCUCGCAGCGCCUCGACGUCUCAGUAUGCUGCCUCCUAAGCUGAUUCAGCUCAUGUAGCGCCUUCUCGCAUUGCUGUUUCAAGCUCUCA